ACACGUAGGGGGCGAGCGUUGUUCGGAAUCAUUGGGCGUAAAGGGCGUGCAGGCGGUCGUGCAAGUCCGGCGUGAAAGACCCCGGCCCAACCGGGGGGACGCGCUGGAAACUGCAGGGCUUGAGUACCGGAGGGGAGGCCGGAAUUCCAGGGGUAGGGGUGAAAUCUGUAGAUAUCUGGAAGAACACCAAUGGCGAAGGCGGGCAUCUGGCCAUGUACUGACGCUGAGACGCGAAGGUGCGGGGAGCAAACAGGUUUAGAUACCCUGGUAGUCCGCACAGUAAACGAUGUGCACCAGGUGGCGGGGGGUCGACCCCCGGUACCGUAGCUAACGCAUUAAGUGCACCGCCUGGGGAGUAUGCUCGCAAGGGUGAAACUCAAAUGAAUUGACGGGG
rnacentral:rRNA from 1 species